rnacentral:rRNA from 1 species
GAUGAACGCUGACAGAAUGCUUAACACAUGCAAGUCAACUUGAACUUCGGUUUGGGUGGCGGACGGGUGAGUAACGCGUAAAGAACUUGCCUUACAGCUAGGGACAACAUUUGGAAACGAAUGCUAAUACCUGAUAUUAUGAUUUUAGGGCAUCCUAGAAUUAUGAAAGCAAUCUGCGCUGUGAGAGAGCUUUGCGUCCGAUUAGCUAGUUGGAGAGGUAGCGACUCACCAAGGCGAUGAUGGGUAGCCAGCCUGAGAGGGUGAACGGCCACACAGGGACUGAGACACAGCCCUUACACAUACGGACGGCAGGAGUGGGGAAUAAUGGACAAUGGACCAGGAGUCUGAUCCAGCAAUUCUGUGUGGACGAUGAAGUUUGUCGGAAGGUAAAGUGGUUUCAGUUCGGGAGAAAAAAAUGACGGUACCGACAGAAGAAGUGACGGCUAAAUACGUG